GCUGGGGUGGCCAAGUCCGGUAAGGCGGCCGGCUGCAGACCGGCUAAUCGAGGGUUCAAAUCCCUCCCCCAGCU
rnacentral:tRNA from 1 species